UACGUAGGGUGCAAGCGUUAAUCGGAAUUACUGGGCGUAAAGCGUGCGCAGGCGGUUUUGUAAGCCGGAUGUGAAAUCCCCGGGCUUAACCUGGGAAGUGGCAUUCGAGACUGCAAGGCUGGAGUGCGGCAGAGGAGACUGGAAUUCCUGGUGUAGCAGUGAAAUGCGUAGAUAUCAGGAGGAACACCGAUGGCGAAGGCAGGUCUCUGGGCUGACACUGACGCUCAUGCACGAAAGCGUGGG
rnacentral:rRNA from 1 species